rnacentral:rRNA from 1 species
UACGAAGGGGGCUAACGUUGUUCGGAAUCACUGGGCGUGAAGCGCACGCAGGCGGAUCGUUAAGUCAGGGGUGAAAUGCCGAGGCUCAACCUCGGAACUGCCUUUGAUACUGGCGAUCUUAGAGUCCGGGAGAGGUGAGUGGAACUCCGAGUGUAGAGGUGAAAUUCGUAGAUAUUCGGAAGAACACCAGUGGCGAAGGCGGCUCACUGGCCCGGUACUGACGCUCAGGUGCGAAAGCGUGGGGAGCAAACAGG